ensembl:snRNA U6 U6 spliceosomal RNA
UGUUUUCUUUGGUAGCAAUAUAAUAAAAUUGGAACAGUACAAAGUCGACUAGUGUGUCCUCCGCACAAGGAUGACACACUAGUUUCUGAAGCUCUCUAUAUUUUU